CCGUAUUUCACCAAAUCGUCAGCACUGGCCAGCGUCAAAUCAGCCUUUCCGUCAGCAACGUCUUUAGUGCAACCCGCCGCUGCAUCUGAGGCAGCAACACAUGAAAAAAUUGUCCCUGCACUGUUACAUGAUGCAACAUUGUCACUACAAAAUUCUAAAGAAGAAAUAUGUUGCGUUAACUGGUUUUCUCGCGCAUCUUGAAAAGACUAUUUAUUAUAUAUAUAUAUAGGGUCAGU